CUUGGUUGAGCUCAAGGUCAAUGGAUACGGCAAUUGUCAGCUAUUUUGUGUUUCUGGUUCUAUAUAUAUACUGGUUGGAUGUUGACAAACAAUUUCCAUGCCUUCUUUUUCUAUGGGUGUAUGCUCAGCCAGGGUUAGAAGCAGUGGGUCAUCCUCGACCUCACGCCGCCCAUCUAGACAGAAGAAGAUGGGUGCU